GCGCCGCGGGAUGCCGAGCUGAUCGAGCCCUGGAGGCCCAGCCUGGGCGAGCUGCUGGCCAGGCCCGAGGCUCUGACGCCCAGCAAUCUGUUCCUGCUUGCAGUCCUCGGGGCCCUCGCAUCAGCGAGUGCGACAGUGUUGGCGUGGUGAGUUCUGGGGACUCCGGAGCCCCAGCAUCUAGCUCCCCGCUGUCUCAGAUCCCACCGAGAAGUCUGGGUUCCCAGCAACCUCCAACCCAGGAGGAUGUUCUUUCGAUGGUACUGCAGUGGCAACUAACAAAGGUAUCUUUCCUCCUUCCCUAUCCUAUUUCCAUCCUGAAAAUAAAGAAUAUAUUUCAACUCU
rnacentral:lncRNA from 10 species